rnacentral:rRNA from 1 species
UUAAGAUACUAAGGGCAUACGGUGGAUGCCUUGGCGAUAUCUGCCGAAGAAGGACGCGACAAGCUGCGAAAAGCUACGGGUAGGCGCAAAUAGCCGUUGAACCGUAGAUAUCCGAAUGGAGAAAUCCGGCGGUGGUAAUGCACCGUCACCCAUACCGACCGGUAUGAGGAGGGAACUCGGUGAACUGAAACAUCUAAGUAACCGGAGGAGAAGAAAUCAAACGAGAUACCCCAAGUAGCGGCGAGCGAACGGGGAAGAAGCCUAAACCGAAUAAGGAAACUUAAUCGGGGUUGAGGACCGACAAAAUUAGAGGAAAAGUUAGCCAAAUCUCUUGGGAAAGAGAGCCGAAGACAGUGAGAGCCUGGUAGGCGAAAACAAGAACUCUAAGGACGGAAUCCAGAGUAGUGCGGGACACGAGAAAUCCCGUAUGAAGCAGGGGGGACCACCCUCCAAGGCAAAACACAGAUAUCGACCGAUAGCGCAUAGUACCAUGAGGGAAAGGUGAAAAGCACCCCGGGAGGGGAAUGAAAGAGAACCUGAAACCGUAUGUUUACAAGCAGUCGGAGACCGCUUAAUAAUAAGGUCGACGGCGUGCCUAUUGAAGAAUGAACCGGCGAGUUACGAAGCCUGGCAAGGUUAAGCAGGAAAUGCGGAGCCGAAGCGAAAGCGAGUCUUAAGAGGGCGCAAGUCAGGAAGCGUAGACCCGAAACCACAGUGAUCUACCCAUGUCCAGGUUGAAACACAGGUAAAAAUGUGUGGAGGACCGAACCUAUAUCCGUUGAAAAGGGUUAGGAUGAGGUGUGGGUAGGGGUGAAAUUCCAAUCGAACGUGGAGAUAGCUGGUUCUCCCCGAAAUAGCUUUAGGGCUAGCCUCAGGGAAAAGAUUGCAGGCGGUAGAGCACUGAUCAGGAGAGGGACCUACCCGGUUACCAAACCCAGUCAAACUCCGAAUGGCUGCAAUCAUACCUGGGAGUCAGACUGCGACUAAUAAGGGCCGCAGUCAAAAGGGAAACAGCCCAGACCAUCAGCUAAGGUCCCCAAUGCCGUGCUAAGUGGCGAAGGAUGUGGCAUUUCAUAAACAACCAGGAUGUUGGCUCAGAAGCAGCCACCAUUUAAAGAGUGCGUAAUAGCUCACUGGUCGAGAGACGCUGCGCCGAAAAUGUCCGGGGCUCAAGCACGGAACCGAAGCUAUGGCAUGAUAGCAAUAUCAUGGGUAGGGGAGCGUUCUUAUAAGGAAGAAGCAUGACCGGAAGGACAUGUGGACAAAUAAGAAGUGAGAAUGCCGGUAUGAGUAUCGAAAAGAAAGGUGAGAAUCCUUUCCACCGAAAGCCCGAGGGUUCCUGAGCAACGAUCGUCGACUCAGGGUAAGUCGGGACCUAAGCCGAGGCGAGAAGCGUAGGCGAUGGACAACAGGUUGAAAUUCCUGUACCGGAUCAAGUCGAUCGAGCGAAGGAGCGACGCAGGAGGGCACAUGAUCGCGCGGCUGGAAGAGCGCGUCCAAGUGCGUAUGUUGCAGCAGAGGAAAACCCCUGCAGCUAAAAGCAGAGACAUGAUGGGGAGUUAAAGGAAACUUUGACGAACUCAUGGAUCCCACACUGCCAAGAAAAACUUCUAGCGAGACAAGAUCCGCCCGUACCGUAAACCGACACAGGUAGGCGGGGAGAGAAUCCUAAGGUGCGCGGGAAAACCCUCGUUAAGGAACUCGGCAAAUUGCAUCCGUAACCUAGGGAGAAGGAUGGCCCCCGGUCAGUGAAGAGCAGAAACGCUCAGAGCUAAAAGGGGCGGCAGAAAAGAGGCCCAAGCAACUGUUUACCAAAAACACAGGUGCCUGCGAAAGCGAAAGCUGAAGUAUAGGUGCUGACGCCUGCCCGGUGCCGGAAGGUUAAGGAGAGAAGUUAGCGAAAGCGAAGCAUCGAACUGAAGCCCCGGUGAACGGCGGCCGUAACUAUAACGGUCCUAAGGUAGCGAAAUUCCUUGUCGGGUAAG